AUGGGGAGCACCAGAAACGCUUCCUCCAGGGAAGGACAAGCCCCGAGUGGCCGCUGUCCAGCGACAGAUGGCCGGCCGCUGGCCACGUGCCAUCAGGAGCCAGCAGCUGCCCCUGUGCCACCCCCCUGCCGCCCCCCAGAGCUCGGGGUUAUCACUGUGUCCAUCACGGACAUCUGGUUGGAAGCAGACAUGCCCACAGGCCAUGUGGUCUGGGAGACGGAGUCAGCUUUCCGCUUUCUCGUCCUGAAGAACCUCCGCCUCUGGGGCACAGAGAGGAGAAGGUGCUGUGGCAGGAGGGGCAGAGACCCCCCCCCCCCCAAAGUGGCGUUCACAGCUGGCAUCCGGGCAUUAGCAGCUUCCUUGCUCAUUAGACGAGCGGCAAUGUGCUUCCCACAAGCGUCCAGCCCACCCCCCCUCCCUUUCCCUCUCAGCCCGUCAGAGACCUGCGCUGGUGUUGAACUUGACCCCCUGGCUCAGCCGCCCUCAUUGGGCAGAACUCCCAUUUGUGUCCACCUGCAGAUGGCCGGGAGUUCAAAAAGGAACACAGAAUUUGAAACGGACGUUAAUUGAGCAGACGUAAGUGCCAGGCACCGGAGCCCUUGGCAGAGAUAAAACACUUUGCUCUCUUAAUCGCUGGCGUCAGAACACCUCUCAAAGAGAAGUUCUGUUUAGGAAAAUACCUUAACGAGCCACUCGGGGUGGAAUCGGGGACCCUGAGGGCAAAGAAAACCAACAAAAGAAACGGCCUGUGCCAGGCUUCGGAAAAGGAGGGAAAUCUUUUUUUGCCGCAGAGGGCGCGGAGGGCAGAGCUGUCCCAGUUGCCGUAGGACUGGAGGGCAGAGCUCUCUGGUAAAGGAAAACCCCAAUUUUAUGACGCCCAGAAAUUCUGUCGGGGAUUGGCACGGAGCGCAGGGCAGGCUGGCUUGUGUCUGCUCCACGGUGUCUGGGACGACUCAGUGGCACCUCUGUCUCCCCGUGAGGUAGCUGGAAACGUCGAGAGCCAUCUGUGCCUGCCAGUUUGGUGGCCGAUGUGGCCUCCCUCAGCUGGGACUGCUGAGCAGAGCGUCAUCCAUCAGGGCCAUUCCGUGCCGUCUGGGCUUGUCCACGAAGGGAAUAGGACUUCUUGCACGAAGCGCAGGGGUCCAAAAGCCAGUGUCCCGGUGGGCUGGGCAGAAGCUGGUCUCGGACCAGACUGACCUAGUCUCGGAUAUAAGGACCACUCCCUCCUUGCCCUGUCUGGGGGACGGGACUGCCCACAGUCGGGAGGCGGAGACGGACGGCUCCGGUGGAAGGGAGGGUGGUCAGGUCACAUAACAGGAGAGCAGGCACAAUGGGAGAGCUCGUCAACCGUGGAAAAAAGCGCCAUCUGCCACAAGGAGGAAGAGGAGGAAGGGGGGAAAAGAAACCAGGAAACAAACAUGCGUUUAGAACAACAUGUGGCCGGAAAUGGAAGUGAAAGACGGGGGCGGGGAGACUUGGGCGGAGGAGUCGACUGGGAGGCCCUAGAAAUUUCAACCGGGUCGCUGACUUCCAUUGCUGCGGGGUCACGUCCCCGUCCUCUGCCUCCCACGUGCCUCAGUCAAGUACCCCGGGCUCACCCAGGGCCUGGGCCGGCGUGUGCCUGUGCGCGCUUGUUCGUGUGCACACAGAAAGGGAUGGGGCUCCACGGGUGACGUGUCGCGACGCUAAGAAGAUGGAAUGAAGGCUCUCAGACUUCAUGACCCAGCAGCAAGGACAGUGACAUGCCAGUAACUCUGAGCCCUUGAGCCCGAGUCACCGGGAAUUUGCAAAAAACUUGGGGUGGGCUUUGGGUUUGUCUAGAGUGCAGAACGGGGAGUCAGGCCGAUUGGACUCACUCAUUCGCUCGUCUGUUCUUUUGCCCAACAAGCUUGGGUCGUGCACCUGCGGUGUGUCAGAGACCGUGGUUGGAGCUGAGGCAGCAGCAGGGACAAGACAGCCCAGCUCUGCCGCACGGAGGGGACCUUUUAGCGAGAUGGGCAGUGAACAGGUAAAUACAAGUAAAAUUAAAAAGCGAAUAAAUAAAACACAAAAUA
ensembl:lncRNA